rnacentral:rRNA from 1 species
GGCGGACGGGUGAGUAACGCGUGGGAACGUGCCCUUCAGUACGGAAUAGCCCAGGGAAACUUGGAUUAAUACCGUAUACGCCCUUCGGGGGAAAGAUUUAUCGCUGAGGGAUCGGCCCGCGUUGGAUUAGGUAGUUGGUGGGGUAAAAGCCUACCAAGCCGACGAUCCAUAGCUGGUUUGAGAGGACGAUCAGCCACACUGGGACUGAGACACGGCCCAGACUCCUACGGGAGGCAGCAGUGGGGAAUCUUAGACAAUGGGGGAAACCCUGAUCUAGCCAUGCCGCGUGAGUGACGAAGGCCCUAGGGUCGUAAAGCUCUUUCGCCGGGGAAGAUAAUGACGGUACCCGGUAAAGAAGUCCCGGCUAACUCCGUGCCAGCAGCCGCGGUAAUACGGAGGGGACUAGCGUUGUUCGGAAUUACUGGGCGUAAAGCGCGCGUAGGCGGACUUUUAAGUCAGGGGUGAAAUCCCGGGGCUCAACCCCGGAACUGCCCUUGAUACUGGAAGUCUUGAGUUCUGGAGAGGUGAGUGGAAUUCC